AUUGAACGCUGGCGGCAGGCCUAACACAUGCAAGUCGAGCGGAUGAAGGGAGCUUGCUCCUGGAUUCAGCGGCGGACGGGUGAGUAAUGCCUAGGAAUCUGCCUGGUAGUGGGGGAUAACGUCCGGAAACGGGCGCUAAUACCGCAUACGUCCUGAGGGAGAAAGUGGGGGAUCUUCGGACCUCACGCUAUCAGAUGAGCCUAGGUCGGAUUAGCUAGUUGGUGGGGUAAGGGCCUACCAAGGCGACGAUCCGUAACUGGUCUGAGAGGAUGAUCAGUCACACUGGAACUGAGACACGGUCCAGACUCCUACGGGAGGCAGCAGUGGGGAAUAUUGGACAAUGGGCGAAAGCCUGAUCCAGCCAUGCCGCGUGUGUGAAGAAGGUCUUCGGAUUGUAAAGCACUUUAAGUUGGGAGGAAGGGCAGUAAGUUAAUACCUUGCUGUUUUGACGUUACCAACAGAAUAAGCGCCGGCUAACUUCGUG
rnacentral:rRNA from 1 species